ensembl:lncRNA
AUAUUCCAUUUACAUACACACACAUAUAUAUAUAAAGAUAAGGGUAAUGAGGCACUGGCACAGGCUGCCCAGAGACAUAGUGGAAGCCCUGUCCCCAGAGACAUUCAAGGCCAGGCUGGGUCAGGCUCUGAGCAACCUGAUGUAGCUGUAGGUGUCCCUGUUCAUUGCAGGGGAGUUGGACUAGAUGACCUUUAAAGGCCCCUUCCAGCUCAAAAAAUUCUCUAAUUCUGUAACUUCUCCAUAACACCGUAUGAUAGCUGCAAAGCUCCCAACAAUAUUUUCAGUAGUUUUACUGAAUUAGGAUGUUCUCAUUAUUUGGAUAAUUCCUUAGUAAGGAAGUGAACUACAUUAAAACUUAGCAGUAGUAUAUGAUAGCUCUAUUUUUAAGAUUGAAUCAUAAUGAAACUAUUACCAGGAAAUCAAUUUGUUUUAUGUCACUUUAUGGAAGUACCAGGUUCUCUGCUCAGUCAGUUAACUUAAACUGCUUCAUUAAUGCUAUGAAAUUUCUUACUUUGCUGUAGAAGUAGCAUAGCAGAAAUGCUAAGUCACAUCUUGAACCAGUAAUUGAGCACCUGAUAGGAAGGCAGGGACAACCCAGGAGAGCUCAGAAUUAUGCAGUGCACCUGAGUGACCAGAAAGGGUAGAGCCAGGAUCCACCCCUUCCCAGACCUCAUUUAAGGGUUGGCAGUGGAGGCAAAGGUAUCUUGUUGGAGAUUUGCAGAUCCCAGAGGUCUUUGGAAGGUAAUUAGUGGCUUUUCUUUGUUUCUGUGUCUACUGCUGUUGUGUUUGAGGAAGUCCUCAGUUUGCUGUAGCCUGGGAUCUUGUUGCUCUGCCAUCAUUGCUGUGCUUUCCAUUGUGUUACAAGUCCCUUCAGAGAAAGUGUCUUCAUUUACAUUUUCUAGUUGCGUUAUUCUAAAAUUUCUACCAGAACUGAUGAUACUAAGUUUAAUUGCUGUAAUCAUUAGUCUGCACAAGAGUGUAUAUUUGAACAAAUCAAACAUUUUAAUGCAUAAGAAAAUAAAGGCGAGCUUCUAAAAUGCUCUUGAAGAUAGAACAGCAGAAGUGAAAGGAAUGUGUUAAUGUUUUGUAAAACAUCUGUAAGAAAGAAAUACUUUUCAUGCAAAAUUAAUGCAAACCUUCACAGUCUGAAUUUAUUUUUUUCCUCACUGAAGUUUGCAUCCAAGUUACUGCUGGAAAAUCCUAUAUUUACAGUUAUAUGCUUAACAACAUCAAAGUGCAGGAGCGUGUGUUCUGAACAGGUAGACACUAGCAUCUUUUGCGGGUAAAACUGAGUAAAAUUGACUACUGCACAAUCUGGGUAAUAAUAAAUCACUCUUUAUUGAGAGAAAUUACACUUUUAUUUGAUUUUUGUAUCUUCUGAAAAUGCUCUAACUGCAGAUUACUGUUAAGAUUUCAAUAUUCAUAGUGAUAAUUAUAUAUUGCAAUAGUAUGUGCAUUAUUAAAACCGAUGCAUUCCUUGUCCAGGAAACUUAGUAAAUAACAAACAAACAGAACAGCAAAAAACCAAACAAAAUAAAAACAAAAAAUCCCAUAUAAAUUGUAAGCCUCAAAAAAAUGGUGUUGAUAAGGGGUGUCCCCAGUCCCUCCAGGCUUUUGUCAUACAGUGUUGUAUCUGGGCAGAGAAAGUUAUGUGGCCCUUUCUUCUUUCAGAGAAGAAAUUGUACUAGUAAGGCAUAUUGUGCAUGUUGUGAUAAAAGGGUUAAUGUCUUAUUGUGAUAUUUGCUAAAUGGAAAAAAAAAAAAAAAAAAAGCUUUUGUGGAUCAUUCUCUUGGCUGAUAAAUAUUUGUAAGGCAGGAGCAGGAUGGGAAGUUGCAUUUAAUUCUCAUUUUUGUGUAUUACCACAUAGAGGCAAUUUGAUAUUUGCAGUUUUAUGUCUAUUUAGCUUAAUAAAUGACAUGUGAGAGUCAUGUUAAAGUGAUUCAGUUCACUGGCAGACACUGCAUUAUGUCUUACUAGCAGUUUCUGAGGGGAAUAGGCGGGUUUGUUUCUGUUAGACUGAGCUGUCACAUCAGUUCUUUCUGCUGUCUUCUGUUUCUGCUGUAAAACUCUCUGGUUUUCAAGGUGAACUUUUCCUCCCAUCACCCAAAGAGAAAUUGAAACAUGGAAUAACCUCACUGCAAUUUUUCCAAAUGGCAAUCUGCUUCCUAU